ACGGGAGGCAGCAGUGGGGAAUAUUGCACAAUGGGCGCAAGCCUGAUGCAGCCAUGCCGCGUGUAUGAAGAAGGCCUUCGGGUUGUAAAGUACUUUCAGCGGGGAGGAAGGCGAUAAGGUUAAUAACCUUGUCGAUUGACGUUACCCGCAGAAGAAGCACCGGCUAACUCCGUGCCAGCAGCCGCGGUAAUACGGAGGGUGCAAGCGUUAAUCGGAAUUACUGGGCGUAAAGCGCACGCAGGCGG
rnacentral:rRNA from 1 species